UAUAACCCCCCCCUCCGCUCUGAGCUGCCGGUGCUCUGCAGAAACCUGGUGGGCGGUGCAGGCGCCAGUCUCAUGCUGCACUCUCACUGUUUGUUUGUCUGCUGUGGAUUCAUUUAACUUCUCGCUGAGAGAAAGUUAACAGGGCGCUGAGCGUCACGUCGGUCUGCUACGAAAAAUGGAGGUCUUUUUGUCGUCAGCAGAUUUUGUAGUGAACCUGGAGGGACCGACCGCCUGCGGAGGAAAAGUCACCGCUGCCUCUCGGAGCAGAGGACGAAAGAAUCGGCUGAUGUUUGAUGCAGCAGGAAGGCGCUCCAAGGCCUCAGCAAAGACCUGGACCUGAACCCAGCAUUCAAAGACAUCACAUGGAGUUCAUGUGAAGGGUGCAGGGCAACGAAACGUCAGGGACCUGAAGGCAUCUGGGUCCCGUCAACAUCUCUAGUAAAUGUGUCCAGGUUUUACCAAUAAAACUCUUCCUCUCC